CAUUCCAGGCUAUAUAACUUUAUUACGUACAUUUGAAAAACAAGUUGGAGAAGGGUGACCUAAUCUAUAAUGUCAGACAUGUCCCAAGGAAAAACAGUAGAUACAAUAUGUUGUACCUGAUGCGUAAAGUCGUAAACAACAACCGCAACUUAAAUAAUAACCGGCAACCGCAACUUCAAAUAACAACUCAGUCACUACAACUUCGAAUAACAACAAAUGCAAAAUUGAACACGUUAGUAUUAACCUGAGGCAUCAUGAAGGCUGUCAUUGGAAUUUGUCCGCCUCAAUGUGCGCAAACUCUCCAGGAUACAUCAGAUCCUUCUCCUAGUGAUGGAGGUAACAGAACAACAACAACUAUAAGUUUAAUUUAUCAGGUAGAUGUUUAUCCAGAAAGUAAAUGAAAAAAAGAAAACAAAUUUUUUCCUUUUGGAAAGUAUCUGUGUUCGUCCUCUUUUUUUUUUUUUUUUUUUUUUUUUCUGCAAUACAAUAAGGCACCGAGAGUUUUUUAUAUAGUGAGUAGGCUUGGUGGUUCGGAAGUUAUUAAAACAUGGUCAAAGGGAAAGUAAGAGUUGGAAGAGGAACUACUAAUACGGCUAAUUGCAAGCAACAAUAUCAACCCACAAUUGCAACUUUGACCAAUUAUAUAACCAUAUGAUGUCAAAAUAAUAGUUUUGUAAAAUAAUUCUUAUUUCUAAUUAACUUUUGAAAUAAAAUAAAACUCAAAAUUACAAUACAAUAUCAUCAACAUGAACCGAACAGUCAAUGUAUCAAUUAUAUAGUGUAUGAAACAAAUUCAGGAAGCACGAGUUCGUAUAGACCAUUGAAAAGAGUAGCAUUACCAAUCAUCUUCAUAAUUCGUGAAUAACACAAGAAUCGUGGGAAAGCAUUAAAUUGCAGUGAGUAAAUAAAAAAUAUGGAACAUAUAAGAACAUUAUGCAAGAAAAUGGAUUAUGUUAAUGAACAAUGCCACUAAACAAAGCAUGAACUAUUUUACCAUUUGAAAGUUUAACAAACCUAGGUUCAUGCAUUGUUGAUUGAUUUAAUUGUUCGAUAUGUAGGAGGAAACCUGUGCAGGAAAUAACAUCAAUUGUAUGAUUAAUUUUCUUGCAAUUCGAGACCAAAAAUUUGGGGGUCUUUCCGAUUUUAUUUAGGUUUAAAAUUGAGUUUCUUUUGUUUAGUUUGCUAAAGUUUGUGAUGAAUUUAUAGCCAAGACAUUAGGAUCAGGUAAAAGAGCCAUUUGAAGCUUACAUUCUUGUUGACGAAUCAUCGAAUACAUUUUGUUUACAGGAGGAAGAAAAUCAGAAAAGAAGAAUUUGAGAACGAGCAUUGUUGUAAAGCAAAAAUUGUAAAGCAUAGUAUUUUUAAUUUUUUUUUUUUUUUUGUGGUGGUCGGGGUUCUGGGGUUCAAACCCCAGACGAAUUGUCCUAUAACUAAGUUCACAAGGACAAAACAUAGUAUACAAUUAUGAAUAAACUUCUUCUAUUGAUUGAAUUAGUAAAAAAACUAAGUUAAUUUUACGAGAUAAAUGCUCUAUAGCACCCUCGGUUUUGCUAAAAAAAAAACUCGAGUUAUUUGAUCAUAACUUCCAAAAGCACAAAACCUAUAGAUCGUAGCUCCCAAACAGCUCUUUUCCAUUGGAGUGUAACUUUCGAUCGAUAGAUUUUAGGGGUUUAGCAAUUCAAGAGGUGCAUAGAGCAACCAGUAUUUUACAAUAGUGAUGAAAUUCUCUAUUUAUAACAGAGAAUGUCUAUUCGAUCAAAAGGAAAAGAGUCCAAAUAUAAUAGGAAGCACAAAUACAAAGAGAAAGAAAUACAAAACUAAAAAAAAAUUGUGAACUAGUAGAUUCUUGCAAACCUCAAAUUAGAGAAAACUAUAAUUUACAAGAAAAAAUAUUUAAAUAUAAAUUUUCAAUUUUCAAUUUUCAAGUUGAGAAAAUUGCAUAACGUUAGUCAAUUUGUCCCUUCAAUCAAUUUCCUUCGUUAGUCAAUAUGACAUGACAUUUGACUGUCUACAUAUCACUGCCAAAUAUCUGACAUGUCAUGCCACCUCGCAGGGUAAACUUUCUUUUCAAGUAAGCUUGAAAAGAAAUAAUCUUGGAAUACUUGUUUUAGAAAAGCUUGAAAUCAAAACGAUAAAACAAGUUUCAAUUGUUUUAAUAAUUUGACAAUAUCCUCAACUUGUUUGAUUGUUUUCUGCUACAUGGUUUAAAUCAAGAGCCUCUGAUCAUGAUAAAGAUAAAAAAAAUUGGGAGCAAAAGAAUAUUUUUGUCACAAAGACCAAUUUCCUUGAUUACUAUAAAUUUUAAGGGACAAUUUGCACAUAAGUGCAAAAUUUUAAGGGGUAUUUACACAUAAAGUACAAAAAAAUAAAAAAUAAAAUUGGGAAUUUUCCAUGUGACACGUCAGUCACGUGUAAAUGCCACAUAGACUCAGAUGUCAUGCCGUGUUGACUAACCGAAAAAAUUAAGGAAGAGAGUAAAUAAUUGAAUAACAUUGUGCAAUUUUAUGACUAAUGGAAGUUUUGUUAUUCUUAAGGAUAAUUGUCUAAUUACUGAGAUUAAAAUAGCCUAUAUUUCAUCAUUUUUUACAUGUUAAUCCAAAGUUAAACUAACGGAGCUUCACUGGUUUCAUCUACUACAACACUCUCGUUUUCGCUCGCUCUCAUACCCAAAUUUCAUAUUCAGGUAAAAUUUCAAUUCCUUUCCCCUUUUCAUCACUCUCAACUCUCGUGUUAACGAUUCUAAUGUUAAAAAAAUUAAUUCAAAAUUUUGUUGAUUCAAGUUCCAAUCUGAGGGUUUUAAUUUUCUUUCUGUGAAUUGCAUUUAGAAAAUAUGAAGUGGGUUUGAAUGAAUUCGAAAGUUGGUAUAUAUUUGAUUCUUAUUGUUGUCUUUGUUCUGAUUUGAUAUUUUAAACAUUUUUUGCCCUAGCUUUGAAUAUUUGAUCUAGAAUUAUCAAAAAGAUCAAAUUUUUCUUACCCCAUUAAGCUGGGAGCUAGUUUGAUUAAUCCGGGCUAGUUUGGUUACAUGUGUUUUAGUUCAGAUUCAAAAAUUAGGUACAACCCAUUAAUUUGCAUACAUUUAAUUUUGAGUUGUAUUAUGUAGCAUUAACACUUGUGAUCGAAAGAGUGUCUGGUGUCUGACACCGGCACAACACUAACACAAGUGAUUACUUUGAAUUAUGCCAUUGUCUCAAAAUUUUAUCCAUGUCAGUGUCAGUGUCAUGUCCGGUGCCCAUGUCUUUGUCUGUGCUUCAUAGCUUAUAGUGUGCAAUGAUCCAGUUUCUCUGUUGUCUUAGUGGAGUUUGUUUGUGUUUUCUGUGCUUUUGUAGGAUCGUUAAUAUGCCGGAUUCAAAACCAGCAUUGAGGAAGCCGGUGUUUUGUAAGGUUGAUCAGCUUCUUCCAGGGACUAGAGGACACACCAUAAUUGUGAAGGUUGUUAGUGUUAAAUUGGUAGAUCAGAACGAUCGUCCUGAUGGACUUAAACUCCGCCAUAUGCGAAUGGCUGAAUGUUUGGUCGGUGAUGAGACUGGGACGAUCAUAUUCACUGCAAGACAUGAACAGGGUAUACUUAUCACUUCAACUCUUUUACAAGUUUUCCUUACUGCAUCAUGUUGUUGCACUGUCAUCGUAUUUGUAGAUUCUUUGUUGAAUUUUAUGUUUGGGGCUGGAGUUCAAACAUUCUUUUAUUAUUCUCCAUGGGGUAUUCAUGUUCCAUGUGCUGCGUGUUCUAUUUUUUUUGCUUUCGUGGGCAUCAUUCAUGUUUGUUUUGAUGUAUAUUACUUCUUGUAUUUGUCAUCCAUAAAGCGUUUUAUUUUGUCAAUUUCAUUGGCAUCUGUAAUUUGUGUCCAAUUUGUGUAAUGUGAACCAGAAGGCUACUCUCUAAAGUAAUUUUGGUUUAAUCAUUGCAAUGUUUUUUUUUAAAUGACGAGUGUAUGCCUGUAAAGUGAAAAUAAAUACUUACAAGGUUCUGAAUAUCUAUCUUAUAUGACGCAUCCAUUUGCAUGUUCUAGCACUAAAAUCAAUCAUAUAAAUUAUUGCUGCAUCAAGUUUUUAUAGAAAUCAAAGUAAGAAAUAUCAUUUCUUAAAUUCUUAAAUGUGUUUAACAUAUCUGAAUCAUUCUGGUCACUUGAUUAAAAUGUCUCAUUAGACCUUACCAUCUAGUUUUCAAAAGUAUAGAGAUUUAGCAACACUAUUAACUAUGUAUUUUCAAAUUUUGCUUCACAUCCAAUCUGAGCCUGUUGCAACCCAAUGUUAAAGAGCCAACAGAGAAGGCAAUUUCUGAACAGCCUGAAUCUUUUGAUUAUCCUGUAAGGAUCAAAUCAUAUUCUAGAGUUUGUUGCUUUGCUAACUGACUGCAAUUGAAGCCAAAAUCCUUAAAUGUGCAAUAGGUUUAAUAUUUUUUUUUUUUAAUAGGUUUAUUAAUAUUGAUUAGAAUAUUCUUUUCCUGAAUGAUUGCUGGCAUGUUUGGCCAUGAGAUAUGCCUUGUUUGUUAUCUUAGUUGAUCUCAAUGAUUUUGGGACAGAAGAACUCAUUGAUUUUGGUGUCUCAUUCUAUAAAAACUUAGGUUUUUUUAUCUACAAUGUCUGUGAAAUUGUAGGGUAAAGUAAUUGAAAAUUAAUUCUUCAUGUACUUGGUUGACAUAGGCUGACACAAAUAUUUUAGUGCUUCCGUCUAAAUCUAGUAAGAGUUUGUGUGACCUGUUAAAAUGGUCUGGUAGUUUGCGUAAUAAUUACUCUUAUGGUUGCAGUGGCCAUAAUCUGGGAUAACUUCUAGGCACUUAUUUGUUAAAUCCUUCUGAAUACGUGAUAGAAUUUGGUUGAACAGUUAUUGUUUUUAAAGAGAUAUUGAAGAAAAAGGAACCCUCUUCUAUACUAAUGCUAAUCAAAUAUUCAGAUGCAAGAUUUCCCCAACUGUAUGAUUUGAAAUUUUAAAAGAUUCCACUUUGGCGUGCGUUGCAUUUCUGAGAAGUGUAGAACCAAAGGAAAUAAGUUAUUGAUAGAUGUAAAUUUUAAAAACAGUGGAGACUAGCUCCUUCCAAGAACAGAACAAUGUAGAGAAUAUUGUGCAGAUGCACAGGACCUCUCUUUUCCUCUUGAGUAACCUUUAAGAAGUUUGGUUAGGUCUUUGCUCAAAAAAAAAAAAGAAGUUUGGUUAGGUCUAACUUAACCCCAAAAGCCAGUUCAAGAGGCGAGUUUUACCUUAACCUUAAUAAGGACUACUUUGACCGUAUCUCUACUAUCUAGUUGAUAACGGAUCUUGACACACCCUCUUGUAUAGCAUUGGACAUCUGGAGUGUGGACAACUGUGAGUCACCUAAUAACAAAUCUAAGAGACCGAGAUAUCAUCUUAAAAUUUGUACCAUGUUUAAGCAGAUACUAACCAUUUUACUCUUCUUUUUCUACCUCUCUUCUCUCUCGCACCUUUGUGGCUUUGUCCUCUAUACAUCCAGUUCAGAGAACAUCUUAAUCUGUUCUUUUAAUUAUUCUUACUUUUCUCGUUCUUGUUUACCAUUUUUUACUUGUUACUAUUUUCUUUUGCUAUCACACCAUCUAAAACUGCAGUCAUGGUAAAAUGUUGGUUUUAUUUAAAUUUAAUUAUCAAGGAUUCCCAAGCAUACAGAUUUUCUGUAGCUAUAGAAUUAUUAUUUUUUUGUGUGGGAAGGUAGCUUUGAAAAGAAAAAUUAACUAUCUAUCUUGGGCGAAAUACAAUCAAGGAGUCUUUUUGAAACACUCUCUUCUCUUUUCUAUAGUUUCUUCUUUUUUGGAAUUUUAGUUCUUUAUGCAAUCUUGUAUUAUAUAUAUAUAUAUGGCAGAUACACCAAAUUUAUAUGGCAGAUUUUUGGCUUGCCGUCGGAAUCUGCUAUCAGCAACUCUUUUUUUUUUUUCUUUGAACAACCGCCGCUAUCAGCAACUCCUAUCUCUAGUUGAGACAAGAUAUCAACAUAGGGCAACCUAUGUUUUUACCAUGAAUUGUUAGAUUGUAAUUAACCCUAGAUAGUUAGUAAUACAUGUUAAGCUGUAUUCAACAGAGAAAUAUAAGAGUUCCAUGUAUGUGGUAGAUAACAGUCUUGGAAUACUAUUUUUAUGCAGAAUUUUCAAAUUAAGUUGCUAAGUAAACAAUUUUUUUAAAGGAAAAUGCUAACGAGUGCAAUUGAUAAGUUUUUAUUUAAAAUCACCUGUGUCCUAAUUUCGUCUGUAUGGCCAUGAAUGAGUUGAGUUUUCUUUCAUGACAUCCUAUUUCCU
rnacentral:lncRNA from 1 species